UAAAAAUGAAGAGAACAAAUUAUUGUAUAUAUAAGUAAUUGUAUAAAUAUUAAUUUGAUGUGUAUCCUAAGAAUUAUAUAUAUAUAUUACUGUCAUGAAAUAUAUGUACGACUUGCAUACAAUAUUAAUAUGGAGAAGAAUUUAAAAAAAAAUCUUAAGCGCAUGCAUGUACCCUUUAGUCAAACCAAUCGGGACUAAAGGGGGUCUUUAGUCCCAGGUGAAUGAUCCGGGACUAAAGUACUUGCCUUUUCUCUUGAAAACUUAAUCCCGGUUGGAUUUUUAGGAUCUAUGCCCCUAUCCAAUCGGGACUAAAGCCAUGUUUUCCACUGGUGAAUCUAAAAUGUUUUUUAACCAUAAUAAGGAGAAUAUGACAAAGACAUAACCAGUUAUAUCUUCUUUUUGUAUUGGGAAGUUACAAGACCACCGCAUAUGUCACUUUGAUUUUUAGAUUACAACCCAGUACGUUUUGUCCAAAUGCCCAACCUUACCCGUUUUGUUACAAAACCACCCCCAUCAUGCACGUGUUCAGCUGAUUCCACCCAUGUUUUCCAAUAAUGUUUUGAGUCAUUGUAUACAGGCCAAGCUAGCUAGACAAAGCUUGUUCCCAAUGCUCGUGCCAUCACAAUGUUUUCAUAUCCCUUUGACAACUUAACGCCAUCACUUAGAAACGAACUACAUAACAAAAGAAAUGACCUUUUCUCCGAUGGAGCCAAACUACGAUAAUGUAUCUGAAUCAGUUAAGAGUGUUUUUUGCCCUUAAAAAGUUCAUGUUUUUCUUAACGUUAUUUUCUAAUCAAUAGACAUGUUCUGUGAAUACUGCAAAAAUAAAAAGUAUACCAAAAAACAUGUUCUUUGAAUACGCAUUACAUUAUCAUCUAUCAAACAAUUAGGCAGAUACUCCCUCC
rnacentral:lncRNA from 1 species